AGCGAACGCUGGCGGCAGGCUUAACACAUGCAAGUCGAACGCAUCCUUCGGGGUGAGUGGCAGACGGGUGAGUAACGCGUGGGAACAUGCCCUUUGGUUCGGAAUAACUCAGGGAAACUUGAGCUAAUACCGGAUAAGCCCUUUUGGGGAAAGAUUUAUCGCCGAAGGAUUGGCCCGCGUCCGAUUAGCUAGUUGGUGAGGUAAUGGCUCACCAAGGCGACGAUCGGUAGCUGGUCUGAGAGGAUGAUCAGCCACACUGGGACUGAGACACGGCCCAGACUCCUACGGGAGGCAGCAGUGGGGAAUAUUGGACAAUGGGGGCAACCCUGAUCCAGCUAUGCCGCGUGAGUGAUGAAGGCCCUAGGGUUGUAAAGCUCUUUCGGCGGGGACGAUAAUGACGGUACCCGCAGAAGAAGCACUGGCUAACUCCGUGCCAGCCGCCGCGGUAA
rnacentral:rRNA from 1 species